AUUAGAGGCUGCUCAAGGAGAAUUUAUCUGGCAACAGAUUUACUUAAAUGCCAUCAUCUGAACCCUCACCCCUACACACAGCUGGGGAAGACCCGGGGGAAUUUGUUUUUACGGUGCCAGGGUGGUGAUGGUGGUUAUUCAGCUGCGUUCCCCAAGGAACUGUGGUAAUGUACUGAAUGAGUUCCUCGUGCUGAGGGAAGCAUCACCCGCGGCUCUGUCACCGCUGGAGCGCUCACCCAGGCUGAGCUGGGCAGAAAUCGGGUGUUUUGGUACAGGGAAACCUGAUAAUUCUGCAUUAAACAUAUAUGCUGGGGAAAAAGGCAGUGGAAGAAGCCGACCCUGUAAAUCCCCCCUGCCCACACCGUGCCAGAGGGGCAAUGGGCUCCUGACUGCCUGGGAAAUUGGCCUCGCAAAGUGGGGUAGGAAGGACCUUGAAUCGUACCAGGAAAGGCAAUCAUAAUACUAUUCGACAUUGAUUCCUCUUAACUUCUACAAGCAACAAAAAAUGUUUUCACAGUUAGCAGGGAUUCUGCUAUUGUACCCCAUCUGAGUGCUUAUGUCUAAUGUGUCACCGGUACCAUCCCCAAAUGGGCAAUUUGUCUCCCACUAGGAAAUGAUUCUCUGGCACACAAAGCACCCCUAUCAGAUGUGGCUCACGUUUACUCUCUGGAGUUGACUCUGUGAUGACAAAUCCCUUUAAUUUUGACUUGCUCCUAUUUGUCAAACAAGUGGGAAUCCAAAAUAUUGCAAGAAUUAUUUUCAAGCAAAGCAUUUGUUUUGACAGUAUUGAAAAAACAGAAAAAAGGAGAGAUAUUAUCCUGUGACAAUAUCUCUUUUUAUACCUGAGAGGCAUUGAUCCACAGCAGAGGCAUUUACAGCUCUUCACAUGCAGCACGCGCCUCAAAAAUUGUUUACAAGAACAAGAAACUUCUGCCAAGCUGACCUGCAAAAUUCUGAGGGUUUUUUCUAUAACAAUUAUUCCAUAUUCAUGCACCCCUGAAAGGAUGGGGUGGGUGGAAGAUGGAUUUGAACCACCUCUGCUUUCCUACUUUCUAGGUCCCCGUCGAUACCAGAUUAUUACGUACCAGCUGUACAGCCCAGGGAAUGACUGUAGCGCUCAAGAAGGAAUAAGAUCUCAACAAACGAUGCAGCCCACGAGCACGAAGGGCUCACGGGCGAGGAAGAAGAAGGUGCUCCAAGGAUGUUCGCACAGCCAGAGCAUCUCCUUGUCUCCCUUUGCCUUGGGGUUACCCAAAGGACCUCCUGGGCACCUGGAUCAAUUCAAGAAAGAGAUCUCGUAACAGCAAAUUCAAUUGUGAAGCGACCGCUGUCAGUUGGACUUAAGUAAUCAAGUGGAGCAGCUUGGUUUGUUAUAUCUAUAGACCAGAGCACUUCCACUGGAAGAUAUCUAAAGAGAUGCCCACAAGUUAAGGAAUGCUGAAAAUAACCAAAGUUGCGUUGAUAACUGGAGACGGGAACACUUUUGGAGUGGUGAUUUGCAAAUUUUACCGUGUGAAGCCACCAAAACCUCAAAAGUUGUUUGUCACAGGUUUUGUGAUGCUCUCUGAAGUCAAAAGAAGUCACAUAACUAAACAAAAACGUGGAUUCCCAUUGAACAGCAUCAGCUAAAGCAGCAAGGCAAGAGCACGUGAGCUUUCAGCUCAGGCUCCAAAGUCGGUUCGAGACACUCCAGCAGGACUUGUUUCUUUCCAGUUCCUACCUCCGAUCGUACCCGUAACAAUAUUACUUGGGGCUAAUUCCUGCCUCAGCUGUGGACAGACUGGACCUGUCCAGACAACAUGGGGGCUUCCUACACCUCCUGACAGAUUGUCAGCUGGGGAUUCAUUCUGUGUAUGUGUCGAGUCUGAACGGAAUUAUUUGAGGAAUUUUCAUUCAGUGAAUUGUUUUUUCAUCUGCAGCCCGACACAAAUGCUCUGUGUCAGAACUGCAACACACCGUUUCUCCGAAAACUGAAGUAAAAUGAAUAGCAAAGCAUGCUCGCCAGAAGAGCAUGAAGCGUAAUAUCUUUUGUAUCGGGGUUUGGAGAAAUAUGUGUAAUCCCACAGAAAUAUUUUUCAAAAAAAGGAAAAAACCUCUGACAGCACUGCUGUAAUUACCUCCUUUGCUCCCUGAAGAACGGGUCCAUCCAUCCUCCCACCAAACGCUGGCCCAGCUGCAGGGUGGUGGUGGCGCUUGGGCUGAGAAUAAUGUCAAACAAAUUUUCUGAUUGCUGAGUAUUGCUUCUCCUAGAACAUGAUGGAUCCCUCUGAGAGUGAAUGAAAACUCUUAGAGAGGAUUAGCACACGGGCGACUGAGUUAACACCAUUUAACCCCGGGACGACACCUCGUUUCUGUGGAAAACCGCCUUGCCUUUGACGUCUGCAGGAGUCUGGAGUCUGGUGAAAAGAGGAGCAGGUGGGACACCAGAGGAGAGCUUCUUCCUUCGGAAGUCUGAAUUCAUCAAACAAAACCUUAGGACAUUGUUUUAAAUGCUGAAAACAGAGCGAAACCAUUAUAUGGCACGCUGUUUUGUAGAGUUAAUUUGUGGAGUUUACAGAUCCUUGGUGGGUGCGUAGACUUGGGAACAGAAAUGCUUUCUUAAAAUAUUACUGUGGAGCCAGAUACUUCACUUUAUAUCUCCUCCACAGCGCUGAUUCUUGUUACAAAAUUUCACACGCUGGAUGUCUGAUAAAAGCAGGGAAGUUGUGAGUGCCCCCACACGAGGCAGCUCCAAAGCGAUUUUUUUUGUGCAUGUGAAUACAGAGUCCAUCAUUGCAAGAAGAGGUAAGAAAAGGAAACCUGAGGCUUUUUCAAAUACUGUAGCUUCAAAUCACAGUGAUUAAAUUAUAGUCCAAUCACAGACUGAACAAGAGGAUGUUGGUGAAAUAAAAGUAAAUGCACUUAACUCUUCAGGCUUGUGCAAGGUAUUUGUACGUAGAGUCACACCCUUCUUGACUGGACUAGGAAACUUGUCUAGAUGCCUCACAUAGUAAUGGGUGUGCUAUCUGUGGAAUUUCAUUUGAAAUCCUAACUCUUCCUAGGAUUUUUUUACAGUAAUGUUAAUGGUAACUAUAAAAGCAAAUAGAUUUCACCAAGGGCAAGAAGUUUGGCAGCUCUAUUAAUUUUCUUUUUAUCUAAUGCAAAGUAUUUUUUGAAGUAUUCUUAGAAAUUCCUUGUCUUGAAGUAGUUCCUGGUAAAGAUAAAAUAAAGGUCCAGUUCUGUUACAUUUAACAAGCAGAGAAAUGCUUUAUGAGUAUAAAAAAAUGAUCAGUGAAUUUCUUGUUCUAUUUUAAAUGUGUCUACAUGUUAGGAAAAAUGAGAAAACAGACUGACACCUUUCUUAUUUAUAUUAAGUUGAUAUUUAUAUCAAGUUUUAAAGAUUCAUUUUCACAUGGAACCAGCUUUAAAAUUAUGUUUUCCAUUCCCAGAGUAUAAUUCUUACUUUAUGAACAUUUGAAUUUAAUCACAUUGAAUAAGUUAUUGGUAAAUGAUACCUACUUUUCCAUAGAUGAUCUGUACUCAGACUCCCUUUAGGUGCCACACACAGUAGCCAUCCUGUAUCAGAUGUUAUUUUUAUUAACACUGAAGAGUGGACAUUUCAUUUUACCUCCUUUUUAUUUUAUGUUUAAUAUUUAGCUUAAUUUUUAACUUCAGCUUUGAUAUUUAGUUUAACUUAAAAGCAUACUGCUUUUAUUUUAUUUGUAGCUAGAAGGAUGGUAAAGCAGCAAAGAAAAACCCAGCCUUAUUGUUUUGUUUAUAUCUCAAGCUUACUUUUUAAUAUUUCAGGGCAUCUUUUCAAAGCAAGGAAAUAUUUCAGUCCUCCUGACUUCUUGCUAUCCUUGCUGAGACUGUCAGUUAUUGUAUGGCCACUUGUCCACCAGCCACUGGACUGCACCACCCAUUAAUCUAGUUUAUUCCCUCUAAUUAGCCAUCAGACAUGCAGACACCACAGACCUUAAUGGAGAAGAGGUGGUAAUCUCACUGUAAAAGGCUGCUUGUCCCUUUUGACUCUCCCCCGGAGAGAUCAAGGUCCAGGACAACAGUGAUACAGCAGAGGUGACUCUGAAAGAGGGGGAAAAAACCAGCACAGAAGCUUUAACUUUGCAUGGUAAUACUCCUUUCUUGUACUGUCAUGAGCGUGUUUCAAAUUUAAUUUCACAAGUUCAAACACAUUUGCAAAUAAUUAUUUUCAGUGUCUUGCUGUUGCAUUCAAAUUUGUGAGUACAACCCAUUAUCAGUUUCCUUAGAAUCUGAUCAUUUGUGCUUAGAGGUGAAGCCUCAUUAGCCUUCUCAAAACAAUAUAAACGGGAAAUGUCUGAAAUCAUGUGAUUAGAGAUGUGUAAAACUACUUGUGGAAACACAGGUACCUGAUGAGCCAUUAAUGAGAUCAUUAAAAAUAUUCAAAAAUUCAAUUUCAUCUGAAAAUAAGAGACUUCUUGUAAAAUGCUUAAAAAUAUAGUAAAAACCUGUUACACAGUUUGAAAAUGCACAGUGAAUUUUACCUCCUAAUGCAGGGCAUUGACUGACACACAAGUGAAAGAAAAAUAUCAAUACUUAAAUCAAAUUGAAUGGCAGGCUGUAACUUCUCCCAUCCAUGCAAAUAUUUCAUGUGUAAAUUGUACAAGUAUUUGCAGUGGAAGUAUACAAAAAUCCCCUUAGGAAUACGGUGGUUUGGAAACUGCGGGUCUGCUCAUACCCAAAUGUAGAGCAAUUGUAAAAACGCCAGCUUGCCAAAUGUAUUCCUCAACUAAUUUUGUCACAGGAUUUUAUACUUAGAAAUUUAUAGCAAAUUCAUCAGGUCUAAACCAGCUGGAGAUCGGAGCCUGGCAAAGCGAUCUCCAUUUGCAAGGACAAAUGCUAAAGCGUGUGGCUUUAGAUUUAUGAAUUUCUCUUGUGCCCAGACUGGACAGCCCUGUUUCAUCCACGAGGAUCCAGAUCACCUUGGACCGUCAAAGGAAGAGUCUUAUCAACCGGGAUAAAAACCAAACAUUUACCAAGGUGCUGGCUCUGCAUUAGGUGCCCCACGAGCACGGUGGGACGAGCUGCCUGGUGUGUUUGCAUCCGAGCCGCUCGGCCGCGGUGAACGUUGACACAGCCCUGGCAGAAAGAGUGGCUCCAGCAAUGAAAUCCUGACUGAUGAAGCUCAUGGGGUAAGUUGUCAACCUGAUCAAACACUGCCCGAAUACCCCAUGGCGUGAGCCAUCCCUGGGCACUGCGAUCGCUAAUCAUCGACGUGGCCGUGUCAGAUGAUGCUCCACGCGCCGCAGAGGGCCGGUGAUCGAUGGUCCGCACUGCGGUGCUCUGGCGGAGGGAAAGGUGGGGAAUCGGCUCCUGCGACCGAGUCCCCGACCCAAAGGGCAGCGUUCGGUCUCUGAAUGCACCGGCUAUCCGUUCGACCGACGUCUUGUCCAUAAUGUCUUGGCAGACUGUUGCAGCUAAUCUCUCUAUUGAUUUUUGCUUAGAAACACCUAGAGCUAUUCAAUCACUAAUAAAAUCUGAAGAGUUCGGUUUUCAAGACAUUUAACUCGUUUGGAGGCAAAGUUUAUUUAUUGUUUGAUGAGCAACUGAAUAGUUCUGCUCGUUUCUGAGUAAAGGCAUCAUAUGGACGAUUGACAACUGAGUCAAAAUCCAUCCAGCCACACUGAGCUUUAGCCUGGCAACUGGACUCAAUUUGGGCUAUUAUUGUCCAUGCAUACGCUUGUUUUUCUUCCUCCUUUUCCCUCUCUUCUGGUCUAUUUUCCCAGUUUAACUGGGGGGGAAAAAAGUCCAUAUAUCUUUCUGAACCUGUGUUUCCUUAGCAGCAGACACUGCUAUCAUCAACACUGAGUGGCAAAUCUUGAUGGAUCCAGUUUGGAAGGAAAGGCAAACUUUCUGAUUGCCUUUUGAUUUGCUUUCCUUGUCUCCCCUUCUGUUAUUUUUUCUGUCCUACUCCGGAUCCAAAUGUUGUUUCGUCCACAGCUCCUUCCAGAUUUGCUGAGAAGAAGCCAAGGUGAAAGCAAGCUGGAGGUGUAAAGUUUGGGAGGGGGAAUCAGGCGUGCAGGUGGGGCUGCCCACUGGGGUGACCUUCCCUCAUCCCAUGCCAGAUGCCCUGGAAGCCUGCCCGGUUUGGCACUUACCUCUUCAGGAAAGACAGAAAUUACCAAACAACAAAGGCAGAGUUGACAGGAGAAAACAAUCAAUGCACCUCUGUCUGGGGUAGAAAUCGUUACUGGCAUCGGGAGAAGGCUAAGGUAUGUAAAUGGCAAGAAUAUGGGGAGACUUCAUGUCUUCAGAUAUAUUCUUACCUUUAAAUAAGGCCAAGUCUUCAGUAAAAAAAUAAUGUCUUAUUUAAUUGUAAGCCUUUCAGGGCCCUUGCAAAAAAGCUGUAAUAUUUCAUUGCAUAAAUGAUAUACCUAAAUCUGUAUCAGAUAAUGUCUCACUUUUCUCUUUAUUUAAAUGAUGAAAGAUGGUUUAUUAUGACUAAGAUAAUUUUCUGACUUCUUUUUUUUUACGUUUUCUUAACAGGGAUGACAUUUAGACUAGAAAAAGAAAAGUAAGACCAGCCAUCAAUAAGUGGUUUUAUUGGUUAAAUUUUAAUGUUAUUUUUAAGCAAAUAAUGAAUUACUUUGACUAAUAACUGUAGAGCCAGACGUGAUUCGUUCUCAUAAUUAGGUUGGCAGUCACCAUCAAUCCUGUAGUUUUAGUUCAUCCGAUUAUAAAAUCUUGUCUCCUUUUCCCAUAUAACAUCUUACCAAAUUGCACCCCGUGAAAUAUGACGUGCUUGAUGGGACUUUGCUUGGACAGUCCUCAGAAUAACUUUUGCAGUUACAGAGCUACAACCAUGGGGGGUCAGCAGCCACCCCUGAGAUUCAGGCUGGAGCCAAAGCUUGGGAAAUAUUGCUAAUCUGGAAGAGCUUUCGGCCUUUGCAGACCAUGGCUAUUUUUGUAGAAGAGUUAAACCUAGGAAGCUUCAGACUCAAAUCAAUCUCUCUUAGAGGAACUGAGCACAGCUGAAGCACUUGCACUUGUUGAGCAUGUGCCAGCAGCCCUCAAGGGGACUGAGGUAACAUCACACUCCAUUUAACUACAGCACAUACGGCUGAAGAAAAGAAAUUACCUCGUAUGUGGCAAGAAGCUUUCACGUGUUCUAGAUAAGACAGACAGGUGGGUGGUUUCUCAAAUGCUGGCCUGUAUGACACUGAAUCGAAACAACCAUUGCAAAAAAGCUUUCUUCUUUUCGUGAAGACUAUCUACCCAGAGAUAAUGUUGAAUAUUUGAGGAAGAUACAGGUAUUGGUUUAUUAGGGAAAUGCAACUCUCUUAUUUCAGUCAUUUCCUUUAUUAACUUUUAUUUUAGAAAAAAUAUAUCCAUGUACAUUGAGAUGUGGUUACUUCUGUAGCUAAAAAUGUAUUAUCUAACUUUGGUUAUACUCCUAGCAGUAAGACAGACAAGUUAUCUGAACCUACCUCGGUGUUCCCACUUGGACAGUGUUUAUCAUAUUGAUGUGUAGGAGAAAAAGCGUUCAUCUACCAUCAAACUGCAUAGCUUUGAAAAAAAAAAAACAAAAAAAAAGAGUAGAAACUUUUUGGCAUGUUCUAAUAGUACAUAAGCUUAUCACUUAAUCACACAAUGGUGCUACGGGCUGGCUGGCUGUUAGGCAGCCAACUUUCAUUGCUCCCACUGCAAGAAGA